GCAUAACGCGAAGAACCUUACCGGGGCUUGACAUCUUUCUGACCGCCUGGGAAACCAGGUCUUCUUCCUUCGGGAAGACGAAAAGACAGGUGGUGCAUGGUUGUCGUCAGCUCGUGUCGUGAGAUGUUGGGUUAAGUCCCACAACGAGCGCAACCCUUGUCCUUAUUUGCCAGCCUGUUUACAGGCGUACUUUAAGGAGACUGCCGUAGAUAAUACGGAGGAAGGUGGGGAUGACGUCAAAUCCUCAUGCCCCUUACGUCCCGGGCUACACACGUGCUACAAUGGUCUGUACAGAGGGUAGCCAAGAAGCAAUUCGGAGCCAAUCCCAAAAAGCAGGCCCCAGUUCGGAUUGGAGGCUGCAACUCGCCUCCAUGAAGUCGGAAUCGCUAGUAAUCGCGGAUCAGCACGCCGCGGUGAAUCCGUUCCCGGGUCUUGUACACACCG
rnacentral:rRNA from 1 species